AAUGUAAAUUUUGUUAGAAAAUUUGCCAUCUCAAAUGUUGUAGAUGUAGUUCAUAUGAGCAUGAAUAUUGGACCUAAAAUUUGGUGCCAUGAUUUUGGGAAAAUUCGGCCAAAUACAAAGGGUGAUUUUUUGGGUUCUUGUUUGACUUGUUAAAAGUGUUUUAAAGUGUUUUAUGGAACCCCUAUGUACCCUAGUUUGGUUAUAUGUUAUUUCCCUAAAGUUUGAAAGGUGAUAGAAAUUGUGAUGGGUGUGUAAGACUUACACACCUUACACACCUUACACACCACAUGCAUGGUUUUAUGAUUCACAACAACCAAAUUCCACUUGCAAGGCUUUAUAACUUAGUUGAAAAAAUUUCCUAAUUUUGUGGCUUCAAUUUUUUCCCUCCCUCUCUCCUAAAACCGGCCCUCCCUCAAGUGGGAGUACUUUUGGGGCUUUUAUGCAAUUACAUAAAGUUUUGAUACUUUUGU
rnacentral:lncRNA from 1 species